UGCUAAAUAUUAUCAUUAAGUAAUUGAUUAAAAAAAAUUCAAAACAAGGAUCAACGUGGAUUUGAACAAGGGAUCUCUCGCAUACUAAGCGAUAAUCUUUCCCCUCGACCAUCGACGAUCUUGAUAUAAUAACAGGGAAUUAUUUAUAAACAAUAGGUCACAUUCAUAUUGUAUACAUGUUAACAUCACUUGUACACCUCUUAAUCCAUUAGCAUAAAUCUGAACAAUUCCAAGAGAAAGGUUAUAAAAUAUGAGUAAAAUCCGUAAACUUCCGAACAGCUUUGCUCGCGAGAACUAGAUGAGACCAACAUGCGAGAGGUGAAAAUCGAGAGAAAUACACAACAAGAAAAAAGAGGUAAAACUUUUAUGUUUUUUUCCCCCGAUUUUUAAGGUUUUUGAAUUGCGCAGAGUUGAGAAACAAACGUUAAUUUACUUGAAAAGAAAAAGUAGGUAUGCAAUUUCUGAUUCUGCCAAGUGCUUUUUCACUUUAAAGUGUCAGGACAGCACCUCUCGAUUUUGUAAACAUGUUUCCACGUGGAAGGGAGUAGUUGUGUCGGUCAAGAUUAACCCACAUACAUUGAUUUAGUAAACAAAAACUCUCGAUACUUAGAAGUCAGUGAUGUUAAAGUUCAAGGUUUGCCUAUUGUGAGCUUUGUACAUGUAAUACAGAUACUUUGGUAAUAAAGAAUGGCUGAAAAAAUUCUUUCCUCAUGCUGCAUAACAGUACAUGUAAGUUCAUAUGAAGAAGAAAAUCCAUGGCAUUAAACGAAACUUAAAAAGAGAAAUAAACACAGUUGACAAACAAACAAUUUUAUACCAAUGCAUGAAUCAGAUCAGCAUUAUAUGCAAAAUUAAAAAGAUUUACAUAUUUUUCUGAUUUGCAUGUAGUGCAAUGAUAUUUGUGUCAGUAUUUUUUACUCGGCUUUCUUUACGACAUAAUUGCAAAUGCAUGUAUUUUAUUUGGAUUAAUUAAAUUAAAAGGAUUGUAUCAAUUUAUUAAUCAUAUUUGUAGUUCACCUAUAACAAAAUAAAUUAUCUGUUAUGAAAGCUUCAAGCACGAGAAUAAGAAAUAAUGUCAAGUUCAAAGAGAAGGUAUGUUGAUAACUGGUGAUGAUAUGUUAUUGAUGUACUUAAAAUUUUACAGCAAUUAAAUAGAAAAAUGAAACAUAUGGAGAUAAUGAACAGUAUUCAAGAUCAAAAGUCCAUAAAAAAUCCAAAAUAGGAGCAAAGCAAACACGGACCUCCAAAACAUCAGAGGUGGGAUCAGGUGCCAUGGAGAAGUGAGCAUCCCCUGCCAACCGGUCACACCCGCCGUGUGCUAUUUGUCAUGAUCGGGAAACAAAGGAAAAAUCCGUCGUCAAUUCAGGGUAUAAAUAAUACACUUACAAUUAGUAAGUAUGAAAAACGUCAGUCAGCAUUUGACUCAACGAUAAAUUGUAUUUGCUGAAAAAAAAACAAUUGUAAUCUGUAGGCAAACUUUUCGAGAUCAGGCAGGUCAUGAUUUGUUAUUUUACUCAUAUUAACAUGUUAGCAUCCUCUGAGAUAGUGCAGAGCAAAUUUAUAUCUGUUCAUAUCAUAUUCUAAGGGGGUAUGGUGGUUCUACAAUGAGGUAUCAAACUUUAUGGUUUUAUAAACCAACAAAGUUCUAUUUUUAAUAGCUAAAAAGAUUCCGAAGUAUUACAUUUCUGCUAAUAUAUAGAUUAUUUACAUUUACGUCAGAGACGAAAUUUGUGUUUCAUAGCGCAAACAAAGAUGGAAUGGUUUACAUUGAAAUUGAUUUUAACGACAAGCCCUCAGACGGAAAUACCGUCUUAAACGGAGCCGAAGACAAGAUAUUAUAUGUCGACAUAGACUCGGUCAAACAUUCCGAUCCACCUACAAAGAAUGGAGAGGAAGGAAAUCAUGACUUCCAGGAAAAUGGGAAAGCAUAAAAAGUGGGGGAAAAAAGUUACAGCCGAAAAAUACAACCCUCUGGAAAUUUCAGUUUCCAUGACGCUUGUUAUGAACUGUAACAAUCAUUCCAAUAACAGCUGGCACUUUGCUUGAUCCACAUUAGUAGAAUUUCAUAUAUUGAAUACCUAAUUACCCAUUGAUUGGAUGUCUUACUUACAGUAAGAUUAAAGAGGUGAAAGUUUAAGAGAAAGAUUUAUUUGCUACCGCUAUUUUUACAUGGAAAUAUUUUUAAAAAUAUUUUUUAAAAUAUAAAAACGUCAAUGCGUAUCCCCUAUAGAAAAUUAAAAAUCAAGGGAUCCACAGGAAUUCUCAUUUCUUAUAUAUAGUUUUUUUUUAAACGUUAAAGACAUGCAUUUACUAAUAAUGUGGUCUCCUUGUUUCGUUUCUGAGUAGUUUGAAAGGAUACAAAAUAUCAGUAUUAGAAGGAACAGUUUAUACACUGUUCAUUUCUGUAAGUGUCUUGUUUAUUUGUUGCUGUUUUUUUUAAUUCACACAACAUACAACAUUAUAUAAUGUAUUAAUAUUCCUUUCUUCAAACAACGAACAAAUUCUUUUUGAAAAUUUUGUGUAUAAUUACGUUUAUUACAUUUUUACCUGUGAAAUACUGUAAUUUAUUCAUUGAAUAAAAAUGAUAUCCUGUCACAGUGUGAAAGGAUAUCAAAAUGAUAUCCUGUCACAGUGUGAAAGGAUAUCAAAAUGAUAUCCUGUCACACUGUGACG